rnacentral:rRNA from 1 species
AGUUAAAAAGCUCGUAGUUGGAUUUCUGUGGGGACGGAGCGGCCGGCCGCACAUCGCGGUUCGAGCUAGCGCUUUCCCUACAUCCUGCCGCGAACCGUGCUACCAUUAGUUUGGUGGCGCCGGGGAUCGGCUCGAUUACUUUGAGAAAAAUAGAGUGUUCAAAGCAGGCCACACGCCUUGAAUAAGUUAGCAUGGAAUAAUAACUAAGGACUUCGGUUCUAUUUUGUUGGUGUUCGGGACUGAAGUAAUGAUUGAUAGGGACAGUUGGGGCGGUCAGUAUUCCAAAGCGAGAGGUGAAAUUCUUAGACCUUCGGAAGACUAACAGCUGCGAAAGCGUUCCGCAAGGAUGUUCCCUUUGAUCAAGAACGAAAGUUGGGGGAUCGAAGACGAUCAGAUACCGUCGUAGUCUCAACUAUAAACCAUACCAGCUAGGGAUCGGCCAACGUUAUUUAAUACCGACUUGGUCGGCACCUUAUGAGAAAUCAAAGCAUCUGGGUUCCGGGGGGAGUAUGGUCGCAAGGCUGAAACUUAAAGGAAUUGACGGAAGGGCACCACCAGCCGUGGAGCCUGUGGCUUAAUUUGACUCAACACGGGAAAACUUACCAGGUCCAGACAUAGUAAGGAUUGACAGAUUGAUAGCUC